UGCCAGCAGUCGCGGUUAAACCAGGAAAUUAAGUCAUAUACAGAGGUAAAAAGGCAGUUAGACAGGAAUAAAAGAUCAUAUACAUAUUUGUAAAAAAGUAAAAUUUAAAUACAAAUUUUUAAACUCACAAUGAUUCAUAAUGUUGAAGCUGCGAAAACCUUGAGGGAAACUGGGAUUAGAUACCCCAUUAUUCUUGGCUGUAAAUUAACAAAAUUUGUUUACCAGAGUACUAUGAAUUUAUAAAGAUUUAAAACUCAAAGGGCUUGGCGGUGUUUUAGACCACUUAGGGGAACCUGUCUCAUAAUCGAUAAUCCACGUUAAACCUGAUCUUUUUUUGCGUUCAGCUUGUAUACCGUUGUCGUCAGGUAACUUUUUAGAAAUGGGAAGUUAGCUAUAAGACUUAUAAACUAAAACGUCAAAUCAAGGUGCAGCUUAUAAAAAGAAGAGGAUGGGUUACAAUUAUUAAAUUAUAAUACGGAAAACUGUUAGAAUUAAAAGUUUGAAGGUGGACUUAAAAGUAAAAUAAAUUAUAUAAACAUUUUGAAUAAGGCUCUGAAAUGUGCACACAUCGCCCGUCACUCU
rnacentral:rRNA from 1 species